GACGAACGCUGGCGGCGUGCCUAACACAUGCAAGUCGAGCGGAGACAGUGAGUAGCUUGCUAUGAGCUGUUUUAGCGGCGGACGGGUGAGUAACGCGUGAGCAACCUUUCCCAGACAGGGGAAUAACACACCGAAAGGUGUACUAAUACCGCAUAAGACCACGGAAUCACAUGGUUCUGAGGUAAAAGAUUUAUCGGUUUGGGGUGGGCUCGCGUCCGAUUAGGUAGUUGGUGAGGUAACGGCCCACCAAGCCGACGAUCGGUAGCCGACCUGAGAGGGUGAUCGGCCACAUUGGGACUGAGACACGGCCCAAACUCCUACGGGAGGCAGCAGUGGGGAAUAUUGGGCGAUGGAGGAAACUCUGACCCAGCAACGCCGCGUGGAGGAAGAAGGUUUUCGGAUCGUAAACUCCUGUCCUUGGAGACGAGUAGAAGACGGUAUCCAAGGAGGAAGCCCCGGCUAACUACGUGCCAGCAGCCGCGGUAAUACGUAGGGGGCAAGCGUUGUCCGGAAUAAUUGGGCGUAAAGGGCGCGUAGGCGGCUCGGUAAGUCUGGAGUGAAAGUCCUGCUUUUAAGGUGGGAAUUGCUUUGGAUACUGUCGGGCUUGAGUGCAGGAGAGGUUAGUGGAAUUCCCAGUGUAGCGGUGAAAUGCGUAGAGAUUGGGAGGAACACCAGUGGCGAAGGCGACUAACUGGACUGUAACUGACGCUGAGGCGCGAAAGUGUGGUGAGCAAACAAGAGUAGAUACCCUGGUAGUCCACACUGUAAACG
rnacentral:rRNA from 1 species